rnacentral:rRNA from 1 species
AUUCUUCGGAUGAUUUUCAGUUGACUGAGCGGCGGACGGGUGAGUAACGCGUGGGUGACCUGCCCCAUACCGGGGGAUAACAGCUGGAAACGGCUGCUAAUACCGCAUAAGCGCACAGGAUCGCAUGAUCCGGUGUGAAAAACUCCGGUGGUAUGAGAUGGACCCGCGUCUGAUUAGCCAGUUGGCAGGGUAACGGCCUACCAAAGCGACGAUCAGUAGCCGACCUGAGAGGGUGACCGGCCACAUUGGGACUGAGACACGGCCCAAACUCC